CGCCCUUGAGUUUGAUCAUGGCUCAGAGUGAACGCUGGCGGUAGGCCUAACACAUCCUAGUCGAACGGCAGCACAGAGGAGCUUGCUCCUUGGGUCGUGAGUGGCGGACGGGUGAGGAAUACAUCGGAAUCUACUCUGUCGUGGGGGAUAACGUAGGGAAACUUACGCUAAUACCGCAUACGACCUACGGGUGAAAGCAGGGGAUCUUCGGACCUUGCGCGAUUGAAUGAGCCGAUGUCGGAUUAGCUAGUUGGCGGGGUAAAGGCCCACCAAGGCGACGAUCCGUAGCUGGUCUGAGAGGAUGAUCAGCCACACUGGAACUGAGACACGGUCCAGACUCCUACGGGAGGCAGCAGUGGGGAAUAUUGGACAAUGGGCGCAAGCCUGAUCCAGCCAUUUUUUUUGGGUGAAGAAGGCCUUCGGGUUGUAAAGCCCUUUUGUUGGGAAAGAAAUCCAGCUGGCUAAUACCCGGUUGGGAUGACGGUACCCAAAGAAUAAGCACCGGCUAACUUCGUGCCAGCAGCCGCGGUAA
rnacentral:rRNA from 1 species